rnacentral:rRNA from 1 species
UACGGGGGGGGCAAGCGUUGUUCGGAAUUACUGGGCGUAAAGGGCUUGUAGGUGGCCAACUAAGUCAGACGUGAAAUCCCUCGGCUUAACCGGGGAACUGCGUCUGAUACUGGAUGGCUUGAGUGUGGGAGAGGGAUGCGGAAUUCCAGGUGUAGCGGUGAAAUGCGUAGAUAUCUGGAGGAACACCGGUGGCGAAGGCGGCUCACUGGACCGACAUUGACGCUGAGGCGCGAAAGCGUGGGGAGCAAACAGG